rnacentral:rRNA from 1 species
UACGUAGGGUGCGAGCGUUAAUCGGAAUUACUGGGCGUAAAGAGCGCGCAGGCGGUUGGAUAAGUCGAAUGUGAAAGCCCCCGGCUCAACUGGGGAGGGUCAUUCGAUACUGUCCGACUCGAAGGCAGGAGAGGGAAGCGGAAUUCCCGGUGUAGUGGUGAAAUGCGUAGAUAUCGGGAGGAACACCAGUGGCGAAGGCGGCUUCCUGGCCUGUUCUUGACGCUGAGGCGCGAAAGCUAGGGGAGCAAACGGG